AUUGUUCUUGACUUCUUCGGGCUCUAGCCAGACUCUCCAAAGACAGGGUUGCAUUCCCUUUCCAGUAUGGUCCAUGGAAAACAUGCAGAGGAAAUGGCCCCACAGCAUUGGCUGAGUGUUUAUAUCUUCCAACCGAGUCUCCAUCGAACUGUUGUGGUGUUGCUGACUUGGCCUAGGUCACCUGAGUUAAAAGAGAUGCAUUCCUUUUCCUUCAUGGGCCAUGAGUGACAUCCAGAGAAAGUGUCACCACAACACUGGACAAAAGUUGAUGAUAUCUGAAUGAGCUACCAGUAAACCCCCCCCUUUUUUUGCUGUUAUUGCCUUGCCUGAGGAAAAGCGAGUUAAAAGAUGAUACCUACAGUGAUGAGUUGGAGUUAUAGAUGGUGCCAUUUCUUCUACCAGCAGCUUCACCAAAACAAUCUCCAUUAUACAUGCUGAUGCCUCUUUCCUGUGUAGCAGCAGACACCACCUGCAGAUAAGAAAUGCUUAAGCAUAAGAAAUUCAUCAUACUCAUACCAAUCUACACAAGAGUGAGAUCAUGG
rnacentral:lncRNA from 1 species